CUUCCAUUGGAGACCAUUUGUGAACAGAUAAAUCAAAUUCUGUGUCCUCUGGAACAGAAGUCUGCUUCUGAAGUGCAUGCACUAGACUCAAAUAAAGCACAAGCUGAAUUAAAGGACAAUCUACCAGAAUCACAAUCACAUUCUGUCCAGCAGAAUAAUGAUAAUCCUCCUGCUUCAGAAGGAUACUGAGAUGAAGGACAUAACGAGAGAGUCUGAGCUGAGAGAGUCUGAGCUGCAAAAAGAAGAUGGUGUAUUGAUAGACCAAGAGCUGGUUAAAGAGCGGAACAAAUCUCCAUAUGAUAUUCUGGCUGCUGCAGAUACAUGGACAUCUCCAAAGGAACCUGUACAUUCACCAGAAAUUACCAAGAGAAUGAAGUUGAAAUGCAAGAAGUUAAAAAUAAUGCUGGCUGUUCACCAGGGAUAGCUGAAAAUGAUGUGGGAGUGGGAGAAUCGAAGAAUGAUGCCGACACCAAAACUGGAGCUAACCAAAGUGAAAAUGAGAUUGUCGAUAAAUUGAAAUCAGGAGUCGUAAUUUUAGAUGAUUGAUAUCAUACAAAUGACAAUCUCAUUACAUCUUUCAUAAUUCCUUUGCUGUAACAUCUAGUUUACAAGCUUUAGGAAAAAGGGACUCUUAAUUUGCUGCA
rnacentral:misc_RNA from 1 species